AAAUCUGAAUUAUCCUUUUAAAAUAUCUUUUACAUGCUAGAUUCGGCCAAACAUGUUUACGCUCUCAGCAUCCCUUUACCCCUCCCCCAAAAGGAAACAUGGUAACAGCCUGACCUGGAAGUUAAGAGAUCUGGUCUAUGGUCCUGGUUCCAUACUAACAAGCAGUGGGACCUAGAGCAAGUCCCUCCACUGGCCUGUGCCCCCAUUCCCCAUCUGUAAAGGGGAACACCACUGACCCCCUGGAAUGUUGUGUGGCUGGUCACACGGCAAAGGAAAGCACCUGGAGCAAAAAAAUGCCUAAUGCCAAUGCUUUCUGUAACAUCAGCAUGGAUUAUUGUUUAAAACCAAACAAAGGAGAAGCACAGGGGCCAAGAGAGGUCACACCAAAUAUGAUCUAAAAGCAUAUAAACAUUACCUUUUUUUUUUUUUUUUUUUUGCGGUACACGGGCCUCUCACUGUUGUGGCCUCUCCCGUUGCGGAGCACAGGCUCCGGACGCGCAGCCUCAGCGGCCAUGGCUCACGGGCCCAGCCGCUCCGCGGCAUGUGGGAUCCUCCCGGACCGGGGCACGAACCCGUGUCCCCUGCAUCGACAGGCGGACUCUCAACCACUGCGCCACCAGGGAAGCCCAACAUUACCUUUUAAAGUCUUGCAAAUAUUGGGAGGUAGGGGACAAAGAUUUGGCCUAAGUCUGAAUAUAUUAAGAGUGAAAGAGGCCUGUGUUCUAAUGUAGUUCUGGUACAUCUGGCACUUCCCAAAGUUCUUUGGAAAGUUACUUAACCUCUUAUAAAGCUCCGUUUUCUUAUCUAUGCAAUGGGGAUAAUCAUAGCACCUAGCUCAGAGGGUUGUCUAUUGGAUUAAAUGAUGAUACAAAAAGCUUAGUACACUGUCUGUAAUAUAACAAUACUUAAAUGAGUUUUAGCUAGGAUCAUAUUGCUUGGCAAUGCUAUUUGGGUAACACACAGGAAUAUGAUGUUUUCUCUUUUGUGGUUACAAUAAUCCCUCCCGUUUGUUAGCGAUUACCAAGUGCCGUUGCAUAGCCUCCCAAAGCCUUGCACAGCCAGCAUUUUUGGAGACUCCUGGCAAAUAAUAUUUGUUGAAUUACUUUUCUCACUGAAUUCUCACAGAGACCUUGUGAGAUGCAUAUAUCUAUCACAGGGGAGAACUCUGAGACACAGAGGUUAAGCGACUUGCCCAAGGUUACAAAGCUAAGAAGUGGCCAGCGUGGAUCUGAACCUGAGCGCAGAGCUUCUGACUUCAGAUUCAAUAAGACACUCAUCUCAUGAUGACACAUAUACUGCACCGCAGUUCUCUCGCUUUAAUGUAUUCUUUCAACAAUUUAAUGUAUUCUUGAACGCUUACUGUUUAGAGGCUAUCUGUAACACAAAAUUCAAGGAUACAAGGGGCACAUAGUUAAAAAUCAAAAAGGAAAAAAUGUCUCAGACCAACCAAAGGGAUUAAAAUUUGUAACCAUUUCCUUUUCUUGUCCUAAUUUUCUAGAAAGGACUAUUCAAAUUUGGCUGAAAGAUUACAAACAAAUAAACAAAUUUAAAAAACCAAAAAGACAUCUAAUAGAUGUGAGUAGAGACAGUAAAUUGUCCUCAUCAUUUACAUGUGAGUAACUGAAGAUACGGGCCCGGAAACAGUAAACCAUCCUGAUCUCUUAGGAUCUCCUUCCUCAAUCUGCCCCUUCCUUUUUCUUUCCAACAGUCUUCAAAUCGGGACAAAUACACACAUGAAUAUGAUGAGGAGAGUUAGAGACAGACUGUUGUCUCCACCUUCGUUUUCAAGGUGGUAUUAUUGCUGGCACUCAGGGAAGACCACCCUCCUAUUCUGACAUGAAAUGGUUUAAGCCAUGCGCAAGGGAAAAAGCGUUGGGGGAGGUUGCUUGUCCAACCCCUGAUCCAGAAGAACCAGAGAGUGUGGGUGAAGCCAAGGAGGCCUUUGGUGGAGGUGACAGAGAAAAUGAAAAGUUGCCAGACGUGCAAGAAAAACCUGUCCAUUGGCUCUUGUCGUCUGAUUCUAGACAGUGGAUAGGAGGAAUGACGGCGUCUCCCUCUGCACAUUUCACUUGUCAACUUAACUUUUUUGGGCUUACUUCAUAGACAUGGGGGACACGGGUUCAAUCCCUGGUCCAGGAAGAUCCCACAUGCCACGGAGCAACUAAGCCCAUGAGCCACAACUACUGAGCCUGCGAGCCACAAAUACUGAGCCCGUGUGCUGCAGCUACUGAGGCCCAUCUGCCUAGAGCCCGUGCUCCGCAACAGGAGAAGCCAAUGCAAUGAGAAGCCUGUGCACCUCAAGGAAGAGUAGCCCCCGCUCAUGGCAACUAGAGAAAAGCCUGCACGCAGCAAUGAAGAUCCAACACAGCUUCCCCACAAAAUGUAAUUAAGCUAUUAAAAAAAGAAACCUAACCUAUCAAUAAAUACAAAAAAAAAAAGUCAAACUCUGUCGCUGAAAAGGCCUAGUAACAAUGACAAACACAGAAAUAAUGAUUCACCCAUAGUACUCAAAUUGUAGUGCUGAGAUACCAUAUCCCACUAAAGGGAACCAGGGCUUCUUAGAGAAACGGCUGACUCCAAGUUGGGGACAGGGAAAGUACAUGCUGAGCUUGUCACAACUUAUAUCAGGCAGUGAGGAGGGUGUCAAAAACUACUAGGGUUCCAUCGAAAGGGCUCAGGAGCCAAUUUGAAGAGGCUCCUGGGUAAAGAUGAGACAAUUUAAGCAUCCAUACAGGUAAUAACUGCAUUGAUUGAAACCAUCAGAUAUAUUUAAAAAUCAUUAAGUUCAUAGUGAUAAUAAGAAAGAAAAAGAAAGAACAAGGGAAAUAGAAAGAGAACGUCAGAAAGAAAAGAGAGGGAGGAAGGGAGAGAGAAGGUAAGAAAAAGAGAGAGAAGAGAGAGAAAGAGUGAGUAAGAAAGAGAAGAGGGAGGCAGGGGAGAAAGAAAGAAAAAGGGAGAAAGCAAGCAAGCAAUUGAUCACCAUGGAGAGACGCUAGUCAACCAACUCAUUAUUCUGAAAACUGAAAAUAGAGGGGAAAAAAAUCAAGCAUUUGUCUUGCGUUUUCUAUGUGAAUUACACCACUGGGUAAUCAAACAGAAGAUGAAGAAAAGGUUCUUUUUAUAAACAUAAUCCAGCUAAAAAAUAUAAAUGAAAAGAUAGAAUGAGCAUAUCACCAUUUUGCAACCACUAAUGAAUGAAUGGAUUUGGGCAUUUAUUAAGCUGCUAACAUCACAGAAGAGAGACAUUGAUAUGAUGGGUCUCCUAAUGGAAGAACACUCCUUGCCAAAAAAAUUCAAACCUGAAAAUAAAAGCAGACGCCUGUUUAGGCCUCACCUCCAAUGAGGAGACUUUCUUUGUCACUUGUGGAUGUAAUUGAACACUACGCUUCUGUUCUACUUUGACAUCUUAGCCAUACAUUCAGUUGUUCCACGGACAUUCAUUCACUUGAUUGUUGUUGCAUGGUUUCCUUGUUUUUACUCUUGUCCUCCUACAACCUAACAUCUACUUAGCAGCUAAAUGAUAUUUUAAAAUAUAAGCCAGGGCUUCCCUGGUGGCGCAGUGGUUGAGAGUCCGCCUGCCGAUGCAGGGGACACGGGUUCGUGCCCCGGUCUGGGAAGAUCCCACAUGCCGCGGAGCGGCUGGGCCCGUGAGCCAUGGCCGCUGAGCCUGCGCGUCCAGAGCCUGUGCUCCGCAACGGGAGAGGCCACAACAGUGAGAGGCCCGCGUACCGCAAAAAUACAUACAUAAAUAAAUAAAAAUAAAAUAGAAGAUUUACAUUUUGUGUGUGUUGUGUGUGUGUUAGAGGUCUCACUGGAUUCCUAACUUGUAUUUUUGUGAGAAGUAUCAAAAUCAAAGCCCCAGAAGAAAUAAAUCAUCUCAUCAUGAAAAAAUAGAGUUCUAAAGGCCAAUAAGGGCACAGAAAAGAAGCUUGCCAGUCAUUGGUCAAAUGUGCAGGAUACUGUGUGAAUGCUGGAACAUACCACAUUCACUCCUUCUAUGAAUCCUGAUAUAAAGUAGUGGGUGGGGAAAAAGGAUCUUCUUCAGUCAUACUCUGUUGGAGCCACUAGGUGGUGCUGUCAAAGACAGUGUGGUCUUCAUUUGUGGAUUCAGAGAGGAAAUAUCAACUUUUAAAGUAAAUAACUUCCAUUUCUGAUUACAAUAGCAUUGCAUGCUUAGUGUAGAACAUCUAGUAAAUGCAAAUAAGCAAAAGGAAGAAACGUUCACACAGAACGUUUCCAGAAAGAAACCAUCCAGGAAGAACCACUGUUAGUAUGUAUCCUCUGUAAUAAUUAACAACGACAAUAAUAAUAAUGGCUUACAUUAAUUAAGUGCAUGCUAUGUGUCAGACACUCUACCAAUGUUUUAUACUUAUCAGCCUCCCAGUCUCUCUAGGAAAUUUCUCGCUACACAGUCAUAUAUGAGAUAGAUGUAGUA